AGAUACCCGGGUAGUCCACACCGUAAACGAUGAGUGCCAGACGUCAGCAAGCAUGCUUGUUGGUGUCACACCUAACGGAUUAAGCAUUCCGCCUGGGGAGUACGGUCGCAAGAUUAAAACUCAAAGGAAUUGACGGGGGCCCGCACAAGCGGUGGAGCAUGUGGUUUAAUUCGACGCAACGCGCAGAACCUUACCAACCCUUGACAUACUUGUCGCGGAUUCCAGAGAUGGAUUCCUUCAGUUCGGCUGGACAAUGUACAGGUGCUGCAUGGCCGCCGUCAG
rnacentral:rRNA from 1 species